UCCCUGGUGGUCUAGUGGUUAAGACUCUGCGCUUCCAGUGCAGAGGACACAGGUUUGAUCCCCCGUCGGAGAA
rnacentral:tRNA from 1 species